rnacentral:lncRNA from 1 species
UCGCCCGGUUUCAAAGAAGGUACCAUCCCUUCCUAAGAAAUAUACCUCAGUAUCCCCUCUUUUUCUAAAAAAAGAGGAUACCAAAUUCACAAAAAAAUCAGAUCACCUUCUAUCCGUAAGCUCCAUUAAGGAGGGAAAAAGUUUCGAAACAACAAAUAAUUGGCUAAAUAAAGUAGAAACCGAACUUUUAAUCAGCUCAAAUCCACCGAAAAAUGUUUCUUGGGGCUCAUUUAACUCAACAUUUUUGCUUGAAAAUAACCCAUCACUUACGCACAUGACAACUUGCGAGCUAUUGCCUAUGUUUUCAGAGGUGGCACAUACGCCGGCAAUGAUUGCUCAUGCAAUGAAAAUUGCAUCAGAAAGCAUGAAUAUCUGAACAAGGGCCAAAUUCCCAUUAUGACAUGUGACGAACCACUUUUUGCCAUUGCAAAGCAAUUGCAAUGGCAAUUUCCAGACAAAUUUGGGGAGGAUAAAUUUGUUGUAAUGUUGGGUGGAUUACACAUUGAAAAAGCCAUUCUGAAUGUUCUUGGAGAUCUUUUAGAUGGCAGUGGCUGGGUGGAGACUCUCGUCGAAGCUGGAAUAACAUCAUCCGGUCGUGCACAAUCUUUCAUUCAAGUGCAUCAUAUAAAAAGGACGAGGCAUGCACAUCAAGUUACCUUAUGUGCUUUAUUUGUUUUGAAAAAACAGGCAUAUUCGAAUUAUGUUGUAGAUUUUAAGGAGAACAAUGAGAAUGAAACUGAUGAGCUCCUCUCGUUUAAAGAAUGGGACAAGAAGUACAGCGAGUCAAGCCCUCAGUUCUUAUAUUGGAGUCUUGUAAUUGAGCUGGAAGAGUGCCUCCUCGAAUUUCUGACGUCACUGCGGAGCUCCAAUUUUGAACUAUACAUAAAAUCUUUGACGAAAAUUUCCUCGUGGUUUUUUACUUUUAAUCAUUACAAUUAUGCAAGAUGGCUACCGGUUCAUUUGCGAGAUAUGGUAAAUUUAAAAGGACUACAUCCCUCAAUUCACGCCGAAUUUUUAAAUGGAAAAUUCACAGCUAAUAUUUCCGGGAGAAAAUUUUCCGCCAUGGCCUUAGAUCAGGCACAUGAACAAUGUAACUCCAGGGUCAAAGGUGAUGGAGGCGCUGUUGGUUUGACAGAGAAUUCCGACGAAUUACGGCGAUGGAUGGUGCUGGCCAGAGAUUUCAAGAGUAUUCAGGAGUUUGAAAAAGGUUUCAGACAGCUUUCCAAAAGCACCGACAAGGAC